GUGGCUUCCUGGUGGGCGGCGGCUGCCUCUAUCUUAUGAGCAUCCACCUCAACGGCGGCGGCGAUAGAUUCUUAUCCAGCUAGCAGCAGCUCCUUUGAGACUCCCCAUCAAUCUCUUUCUUUCUCUCUAAAAGCUUACAGUUUGUAGAAAUCAUGGCUAGAGUUUUGGUCCAGCCGACAAAUAUUCCUGGUCUGGUUGGUGGAAGAAAGAGUCCUACUUCAAGAGGAUCUGUUUAUGUAAAACGGGGUGUUAAAAUGAUGUCUAGUGUACAUGCACCUGGUUUGAGGAUGAGAAGCUUUUCUGGGCUUAGAGGGUUUAAUUCUUUGGAUAAUAUGUUGAGAACUGGGCAAGAUUUUCAUUCGAAGAUGGCUAUUGCAAUCUCUUCCAGGCGAGGGAAGGCUAGCAGAUGUGUUCCAAGAGCUAUGUUUGAG
rnacentral:misc_RNA from 1 species